UACGGGGGGGGCAAGCGUUGUUCGGAAUUACUGGGCGUAAAGGGCUCGUAGGUGGCCAACUAAGUCAGACGUGAAAUCCCUCGGCUUAACCGGGGAACUGCGUCUGAUACUGGAUGGCUUGAGUUCGGGAGAGGGAUGGCGGAAUUCCAGGUGUAGCGGUGAAAUGCGUAGAUAUCUGGAGGAACACCGGUGGCGAAGGCGGCAUCCUGGACCGACACUGGACGCUGAGGAGCGAAAGCCAGGGGAGCAAACGGG
rnacentral:rRNA from 1 species